rnacentral:misc_RNA from 1 species
GGAAGGAUCAUUAGUGAAAUAACCUGGGACAUCAUGUCCCAAACCUUCUCACAUCCACAUACCUUUGUGCACCGUUGGACAGCUCUUUAAUAUAUAUAUUUUUUUCUUUUGAAAAAAAAUAGAGGCGCCGUCCUAUUAUUUUACAAACAUCUUAUGCAUGUAUGGAACGUGUUAUUCAAUGCUCUAGCAGCACUGAAAUAAAUAAAUGAAAUUAAACAAAACUUUCAACAACGGAUCUCUUGGCUCUCACAUCGAUGAAGAACGCAGCGAAAUGCGAUAAGUAAUGUGAAUUGCAGAAUUCAGUGAAUCAUCGAAUCUUUGAACGCAUCUUGCGCUCCUUGGUAUUCCGAGGAGCAUGCCUGUUUGAGUGUCAUGAAUAUAUCAAACAACAAUUGUUUUUAUUAACAAUUGUCUGUUUGGACGUUGGAUGUUUGCUGGACUGUUAUAUGUCACCCGGCUCAUCCGAAAUCUAUUAGCUGAUCUUAAUAUCAUGGAUUUAUCCACUUGGCGUGAUAAGUAUCACCCGCUGAGGACUUUUCCAGAGAUAAUGGAUUGCUUCUAAUCACGGAUACUAUUGUAUCAUACUGAAUCAUCUGACCUCAAAUCAGGUAGGACUACCCGCUGAACUUAAGCAUAUCAAUAAGCGGAGGAAAAGAAACCAACAGGGAUUCCCUUAGUAACGGCGAGUGAAGUGGGAAAAGCUCAAAUUUAGAAUCUGGCAGCCUCAGGUUGUCCGAGUUGUAGCCUAGAGAAGUGUUUUCCGUGCUGGACCAUGUACAAGUCCUUUGGAACAAGGUGUCUUAGAGGGUGAGAAUCCCGUACAUAACAUGGACCACCAGUGCUUCUGUGAUACACUCUCCAAGAGUCGAGUUGUUUGGGAAUGCAGCUCUAAAUGGGUGGUAAAUUCCAUCUAAAGCUAAAUAUAGGUGAGAGACCGAUAGCGAACAAGUACCGUGAGGGAAAGAUGAAAAGCACUUUGGAAAGAGAGUUAAACAGUACGUGAAAUUGUUGAAAGGGAAACGCUUGAAGUCAGUCUUGCUUGUUGGGACUCAGCCUUGCUCUUUUGCUUGGUGUAUUUCCUGGCAGCGGGCCAGCAUCAAUUUCAUGUGGUGCAAAAAGGCUUGGGGAAUGUGGCAUCUUCUGAUGUGUUAUAGCCCUUUGUCAUAUACAUCAUGUGGGAUUGAGGUUUGCAGCACGCCUUUUAGGCAGGUCUUCGGACUCUUUCGUGCUUAGGAUGCUGGCAUAAUGGCUUUAAACGACCCGUCUUGAAACACGGACCAAGGAGUCUAACAUGUCUGCGAGUAUUUGGGUGGUAAACCCAAGUGCGUAAUGAAAGUGAAUGUAGGUGGCAUCCGCAAGGUGCACCAUCGACCGAUCUGGAUUUUCUAUGAUGGAUUUGAGUAAGAGCAUACAUGUUGGGACCCGAAAGAUGGUGAACUAUGCCUGAAUAGGGUGAAGCCAGAGGAAACUCUGGUGGAGGCUCGUAGCGAUUCUGACGUGCAAAUCGAUCGUCAAAUUUGGGUAUAGGGGCGAAAGACUAAUCGAACCAUCUAGUAGCUGGUUCCUGC